rnacentral:rRNA from 1 species
AUGAGAGUUUGAUCCUGGCUCAGGACGAACGCUGGCGGCGUGCCUAAUACAUGCAAGUCGAACGCUUCUUUCCUCCCGAGUGCUUGCACUCAAUUGGAAAGAGGAGUGGCGGACGGGUGAGUAACACGUGGGUAACCUACCCAUCAGAGGGGGAUAACACUUGGAAACAGGUGCUAAUACCGCAUAACAGUUUAUGCCGCAUGGCAUAAGAGUGAAAGGCGCUUUCGGGUGUCGCUGAUGGAUGGACCCGCGGUGCAUUAGCUAGUUGGUGAGGUAACGGCUCACCAAGGCCACGAUGCAUAGCCGACCUGAGAGGGUGAUCGGCCACACUGGGACUGAGACACGGCCCAGACUCCUACGGGAGGCAGCAGUAGGGAAUCUUCGGCAAUGGACGAAAGUCUGACCGAGCAACGCCGCGUGAGUGAAGAAGGUUUUCGGAUCGUAAAACUCUGUUGUUAGAGAAGAACAAGGACGUUAGUAACUGAACGUCCCCUGACGGUAUCUAACCAGAAAGCCACGGCUAACUACGUGCCAGCAGCCGCGGUAAUA